GAGACUCUGUGCGCGUGCAUAUCAAUAAGCGGAGGAAAAGAAACUAACAAGGAUUCCCUUAGUAACGGCGAGUGAAGCGGGAAGAGCUCAAAUUUGAAAUCUUCAAGGUUCUACCUUGACGAAUUGUAGUUUAUAGAAGUGUUUUCUGUUAGUAGGAGUGGCAAAAGUUCUUUGGAAUAGGACAUCAUAGAGGGUGAGAAUCCCGUAUUUGGUCAUUCUUUCUAGCUUUGUGAUACACUUUCAACGAGUCGGAUUGUUUGGGAAUGCAGUCCAAAAUAGGGUGGUAAAUUUCAUCUAAAGCUAAAUAUUGGCGAGAGACCGAUAGCGAACAAGUACCGUGAGGGAAAGAUGAAAAGAACUUUGAAAAGAGAGUUAAACAGUACGUGAAAUUGUCAAAAGGGAAGCGUUUGACACCAGUGUUGUUUUUCCGAAAAUCAAUUACGAAUGUUUUAUUUUUGAGGAGUUAUGACUUCAUCGGCUUGCUUCUCUUCUUUAUGAAACUUUCUUAAUGCACUUUUCGGUUAACAAGUCAACAUCAAUUUCUUUUGUUGUAAAAGGGUAUGAGGAAGGUGGCUUCCUUUUCGGAGAAAGUGUUUAUAGCCUUGUGCUCUCUGCAAUCGGAGAGACUUGAGGUCUGCAGCGUAGACUCCUUCGGGGUUAGAUACAUUUGUGCUAAGUUAUAGCUUUUCAUAGACAACUUGUUGACUAUGUUAAGUCUUGUAGCUUACUCGCUUACGCUAUUUUACCUACGCUUAGGAUGUUGACGAUCAGCUGAGCGCG
rnacentral:rRNA from 1 species